rnacentral:lncRNA from 1 species
GGGAAGAGAAGAGAAAGGAAGAUGGAAAGAAGGAAGGAAGACCACAAAUAUUAGAAAUUCUGGGUUUGUUAGAGAAUAUGCCAUACUGUUGUUGUUUUUUUUCACUUGAAAGAGUAUCUGCCAUUGAAGAUUGGAUGUCUUGUUGUGAUAAAGGCAUGACAUUAUACAAAAAUUGAUAAACGACAGAAAAUCAGCCAACAAAAAUGAAAGUGUGGCAAAUAAAUGAAAGUGUCAACACCGAAAGUGAAAUUCAGAUUGGAUCUUGAUGGAUUGAUAGAAGAAAUAGUUAAUUGCGAGAAUGCUGACACAACUACCAUCCAAGAGAUUUCGUAUGUGCAGUCAGGGGAACUUAUGGAAGACAUAUUUACAACUUAAAUGAAGAAGCUGAUUGCAGGGAAAAGACGAACAUUUUCCCAGAAGAUGUGAUGCUGAGAAAAUAAAAUUACAUUGAAGAAAUUCUCCAAGAUGUUUAAAGACAAUGAACGUGCAAACAAUAAAAUGUUGGACAAAUAAUCGAAUUUAUAAAGAAG